UUUAGGGAGACCUAUACCCCUCAGAAAUCGAAAAACAUACAGUUAUAUAGAUACUGAGUUGGUCUAACCUAGGUCGGUCGCAGAUAUUUGCAUUGUUAAAAGCUUUCAAACUAUGAUGAAGGUUCGUUAUGGGCUAUUAGCUCAGGUGGUUAGAGCGCACCCCUGAUAAGGGUGAGGUCCCUGGUUCGAGUCCAGGAUGGCCCACCUGAAUCAAUUAAAAAUGUAGAAUUAGAAAUUAAAAAUUUAUUUCAUUUUUAAUUUUUAAUUAUUAAUUUUUAAUUGUAUCUGGGGGUUUAGCUCAGUUGGUAGAGCGCCUGCUUUGCAAGCAGGAUGUCAGCGGUUCGAGUCCGCUAACCUCCACCUGUGGCGAUUGGCAUCGCUAAAAUAAAUAUAUUGAGAAAUCAGCAACAUGACUUAUUAAUUGAAGUCAGACUGCUGAGUAGAAUCUCAGCCAGAACCUUGAAAACUGCAUAGUAACGCGAAAUUAGCAGGCGGACACAGACAUUCUGUAUUGAAUUGUAUGUGAAUGCAAAAUGUGAAACACCAAAUGAAUUGAGU
rnacentral:tRNA from 1 species